CGGGCAAGGGUUUGUCCGUUGAUGAUUUGAAGUCAUUAGUUUUUCUUUGUUAGGAAUGCUCGCU
rnacentral:tRNA from 1 species